CACGUAGGCGGCUUGUUAAGUCUGGGGUGAAAUCUCCCGGCUCAACCGGGAGGGGUCCUCGGAUACUGGCAGGCUGGAGGGGAGCAGAGGAGAGCGGAAUUCCCGGUGUAGUGGUGAAAUGCGUAGAUAUCGGGAGGAACACCAGUGGCGAAGGCGGCUCUCUGGGCUCUACCUGACGCUGAGGUGCGAAAGCGUGGGGAGCGAACCGGAUUAGAUACCCGGGUAGUCCACGCUGUAAACGAUGGACACUAGGUGUGGGGGGUAUCGACCCCCUCCGUGCCGAAGCUAACGCUAUAAGUGUCCGCCUGGGGAGUACGGCCGCAAGGCUAAA
rnacentral:rRNA from 1 species